UACGAAGGGGGCUAGCGUUGUUCGGAAUCACUGGGCGUAAAGGGCGCGUAGGCGGCUUUAUAAGUCGGGGGUGAAAGCCUGUGGCUCAACCACAGAAUUGCCUUCGAUACUGUAGAGCUUGAGACCGGAAGAGGUAAGUGGAACUGCGAGUGUAGAGGUGAAAUUCGUAGAUAUUCGCAAGAACACCAGUGGCGAAGGCGGCUUACUGGUCCGGUUCUGACGCUGAGGCGCGAAAGCGUGGGGAGCGAAUGGG
rnacentral:rRNA from 1 species